rnacentral:rRNA from 1 species
CACGAACGCUGGCGGCAGGCCUAACACAUGCAAGUCGAGCGAAGCCUUCGGGCUUAGCGGCGGACGGGUGAGUAACGCGUGGGAACGUGCCCUUUGGUACGGAAUAGCCCCGGGAAACUGGGAGUAAUACCGUAUGUGGUCGAGAGACGAAAGAUUUAUCGCCAAAGGAUCGGCCCGCGUUGGAUUAGGUAGUUGGUGGGGUAAUGGCCUACCAAGCCGACGAUCCAUAGCUGGUUUGAGAGGAUGAUCAGCCACACUGGGACUGAGACACGGCCCAGACUCCUACGGGAGGCAGCAGUGGGGAAUCUUAGACAAUGGGGGAAACCCUGAUCUAGCCAUGCCGCGUGAUCGAUGAAGGCCUUAGGGUUGUAAAGAUCUUUCAGUGGGGAAGAUAAUGACUGUACCCGCAGAAGAAGCCCCGGCUAACUCCGUGCCAGCCGCCGCCGUAAGAC